rnacentral:rRNA from 1 species
GAUGAACGCUGGCGGCGUGCCUAAUACAUGCCAGUCGAGCGAACAGACGAGGAGCUUGCUCCUUUGACGUUAGCGGCGGACGGGUGAGUAACACGUGGAUAACCUACCUAUAAGACUGGGAUAACUUCGGGAAACCGGAGCUAAUACCGGAUAACAUGUUGAACCGCAUGGUUCAACAGUGAAAGACGGUCUUGCUGUCACUUAUAGAUGGAUCCGCGCCGCAUUAGCUAGUUGGUAAGGUAACGGCUUACCAAGGCAACGAUGCGUAGCCGACCUGAGAGGGUGAUCGGCCACACUGGAACUGAGACACGGUCCAGACUCCUACGGGAGGCAGCAGUAGGGAAUCUUCCGCAAUGGGCGAAAGCCUGACGGAGCAACGCCGCGUGAGUGAAGAAGGUCUUCGGAUCGUAAAACUCUGUUAUUAGGGAAGAACAAAUGUGUAAGUAACUAUGCACGUCCUGACGGUACCUAAUCAGAAAGCCACGGCUAACUACGUG